GCCGGGCGUGGUGGUGCAUGCCUGUAAUCCCAGCUACUCGGGAGGCUGGGGCAGUAGAAUCGCUUGAACCCAGGAGGCAGAGGUUGCAGUGAGCCGAGAUUGUGUCACUGCACUCCAGCCUGGGCAACAGAGUGAGACUCUGUCUCAA
ensembl:misc_RNA Metazoa_SRP Metazoan signal recognition particle RNA